GCCAUGUGAUGAUAUCAAGGCUGUUGUGAUUCAGUUGGUUUGGCUAAGUCCGGGGACCUCUGGCUUAUCCAGGUCUGUAAUCUUGGUGGUCGAUACAGAGUGAUGUGCGAUCGCUGUAAGGGCGGACCAACAGAAAUUUUCCUGCUUUUGAACCACCUCCCCAAGUAGGGGUGAUUCUCCAUUGCCUGCAAGGACUUGUCAUUGGAAUGAAAGUAGGAACAGGCUCUAUCUCAAUACAGGGGUCAGGGGUCCCAAAGGACUUAGCUGUGUCAUGGCCACUGAGAGAUGAUACACAGAUCUUUGGUAAUCUGAUGGCU
ensembl:snoRNA Scarna10 small Cajal body-specific RNA 10